rnacentral:tRNA from 1 species
GCCCCCGUCGUCUAGCGGCCUAGGAUUCCACCCUCUCACGGUGGCGACGCCGGUUCAAAUCCGGUCGGGGGUA